rnacentral:rRNA from 1 species
GAUGAACGCUAGCGGCAGGCCUAAUACAUGCAAGUCGAACGGUAGAUUUGGUAGCAAUACUGAAUUGAGAGUGACGUAAGGGUGCGUAACACGUAUGCAAUCUGCCCUCAACAGGAGUAUAGCUCGGGGAAACUCGGAUUAACCCUCCAUAAGAUCUUAGGGUGGCAUCACCUAGAGAUUAAAACUUCGGUGGUUGAGGAUGAGCAUGCGCAUGAUUAGUUAGUUGGAGGUGUAACAGACCCCCAAGACGAUGAUCAUUAGGGGAACUGAGAGGUUGAUCCCCCACACUGGCACUGAGAUACGGGCCAGACUCCUACGGGAGGCAGCAGUAGGGAAUAUUGGUCAAUGGGUGAGAGCCUGAACCAGCCAUGCCGCGUGCAGGAAGACGGCCUUCUGGUUGUAAACUGCUUUUAUCUGGGGAUAAAAAGACCGUGCGCGGUUAAUUGAAGGUACCAGAUGAAUAAGCACCGGCUAACUACGUGCCAGCAG